rnacentral:lncRNA from 1 species
ACGCAGCAGCACGACGCCGGAUGGCACGGCCUCCGGCUGGGCGACGAGGACGAGCGCGCGGUGAAGGAGCGCGCGGCGGAGAAGGCGGCGUCCGUCUACUUCGAGGAGAAGGACCGGCUGGCCAAGGAGCGCGCGGCGGAGCGGGUGGACAAAUGCGUCGAGAAGUGCGUGGAAGGGUGCGCCGGCUCCUCCUGCGCCCACCGCAAGGGCAAGAUGUGAGCGGCCGGGCGUCCCACGUGACCGACCGCGGGCGCGUCCUCGGUGCGACGUGCACACGUAUCGCGUUCUCGUGCCAUCCAUGCCGUCACUCCGAGCAUGGCGGCGACAAUAAACUUUAACUCCUAGUGGAGGUCCAGUAGAGCCUUCGUUUUCAAGUUUCUUUUACUACCACCUUUUGUCUAAGUAGUGUAGUGUGUGCGCGUCCCUUAGUUUGAAUCCAUAAAUGUCCUUCGGUUUCAAGUUUCUUUUACUACCACCUUUUGUCUAAGUGGUGUGUGUUCGUCCCUUAGUUUGGUGAAUCCGUAAAUGCUCUACUGCUUUGUUUUAGAAUCUCCGGUGUCUUCGUAUACCUUUUGCAUGACCUGUGUGUACUGUCUGCGUGAGUCUGGCGUCUCGUAUUGGUGUCUGUCUACCUCAGGACUAGUCUACGUGUGUGUGUUGUGUGCACCGAGGCGUACACAUCCAUAUUUUUUCCUUUAGCGAGGGGAUGCCGUCAUGGCUACUGUAUUGAUCUGAUAAUAUCAGUACAUCCUUCACAAAAGGAGCUUACAAAGAAAAUCAGAGAAUUCCCCCCUGCAAAAAAAAAACCCAGAGAAUU